UACGUAGGUGGCAAGCGUUGUCCGGAUUUACUGGGCGUAAAGAGCGCGCAGGCGGUCGUUCAAGUCGCGUGUGAAAGCCCCCGGCUCAACUGGGGAGGGUCACGCGAUACUGAUCGACUCGAAGGCAGGAGAGGGUAGUGGAAUUCCCGGUGUAGUGGUGAAAUGCGUAGAUAUCGGGAGGAACACCAGUGGCGAAGGCGACUACCUGGCCUGUUCUUGACGCUGAG
rnacentral:rRNA from 1 species